CUCAAAUACCCUUGUGAGGCCUGAUGAGUCCAGUUGGAAAGGCUUCCGGUUUCCCCUGACAGAUCUUCAGUAUGACUGCUCCUCUCUGCUGGAUGACCUGACUGUUGUUUGGAGCUCCUGCUCCGUACCAAGCCUGGGGCAUAGCAGUGAAUACCUACUAGGAGGCUACUGAACUGCAUGGUAAAGAGAAACUACCUGGCCCAGGACAUUGGAAAAGGCUUCCUUGAAGAAGCAAUGUUUGAGGACUCCAUGAAAAGACUGAUCAUCUCCAUGUUACAAAUGAGGAGGAGGAGAUCUGGAGAGAGCUUGUCAUCCAAGCUUUUAACCACUGUGUCACACUGCCCCCUGCUGAGCACCUACUAAGUGCAAGGCUCUUAGGACACAAUGGUUUUAAGACAUUCCAAGGAGCUUAUACUCUGGACAGGUAAUUUCCUGGGUCUGUGUGUCUCCCGUAGCAAUCUGAAGGAAGAGAAGCCACGUAGUGGGAACUUCUGCCAUUUGUCAAUGAUGCUACCAUUUACCUGCAAG